CAUUGAUUGUACCUUUUGGAAUUUUUGUGUAGACAUUGACGGAAUAUAGUCUUCAUCGAUUCCUUUUCCAUAGAAAGAUGAAGAGCUACUGGGGAAGCACGACACAUUAUCUUCUUCAUGGUUGUCAUCACAAGCAUCCCAUGGAUGGCCUACGCCUUGUUUUUCCUCCUGCUAUAAUGGCUAUUCUUUGUGUACCGUUCUGGAAUUUAAUCAAACGCAUCUCGACUCCCUCAAUUGCUCCUGCAUUAUUUGGAGGAGGCGUGUUGGGCUAUGCAUGUCAU
rnacentral:misc_RNA from 1 species